UCUCCUGUAACUCAGCUGUAGAGCGUCCGACCGGUGUACGGAAGGUCAUAGGUUUGAUUCCUGUUGGGAGAA